rnacentral:rRNA from 1 species
GGCCUUGACAUACUAAGAACUUUCCAGAGAUGGAUUGGUGCCUUCGGGAACUUAGAUACAGGUGCUGCAUGGCUGUCGUCAGCUUGUGUCGUGAGAUGUUGGGUUAAGUCCCGNAACGAGCGCAACCCUUUUCCUUAUUUGCCAGCGGGUCAUGCCGGGAACUUUAAGGAUACUGCCAGUGACAAACUGGAGGAAGGCGGGGACGACGUCAAGUCAUCAUGGCCCUUACGGCCAGGGCUACACACGUGCUACAAUGGUCGGUACAAAGGGUUGCUACCUCGCGAGAGGAUGCUAAUCUCAAAAAGCCGAUCGUAGUCCGGAUCGCAGUCUGCAACUCGACUGCGUGAAGUCGGAAUCGCUAGUAAUCGCGGAUCAGAAUGCCGCGGUGAAUACGUUCCCGGGCCUUGUACACACCGCCCGUCACACCAUGGGAGUUUGUUGCACCAGAAGUAGGUAGUCUAACCGCAAGGAGGACGCUUACCACGGUGUGGCCGAUGACUGGGGUGAAGUCGUAACAAGGUAGGCGUAGAUGA